GCUCUCUCUCUCUUUCUCUCUCUCAUCUAGUAUCGUUAGUGUAUUACUAUUUUGAAAAAAUAUUUAAGUUACAAGAUGCACUAACAUGUACAAUGAUAAAAGUCUAUAUAAGAAAAAACAUAGUAAAAAGACAUUUAAUGUCAGUAUAAUGAACUCUGAUUAAAAUACUGACAUACUGAUGAUUAGUCAAAAAUAAAUUGCUUUAGAUUUGAUAAUAUUAUAGUAAAUAUAUUUCUGGUAUAAAGUGAAGAAUUAUUCAUUAACAUUGCAGCAUUGUUGGCAUUCUAUUAAUUUAGUCAAAAUUAAUGACUAAAACUAUAGUAAAAGAUAGGUUAUAAACAAAACUUAAAAAUUAUUGAACAAGCUCAUUCAUUCAUUACUGUACACAACUCUAGAAAAGAGAUACAUGUUUUUCAUCUAUAAUUUGGUACAACCAUUAUAACCUAGAUUUCAUGUUGGCUGUCAGAUAUCAGAUAUUACUCAUUCUGCCCACAACUGCAUCAAAUGUAUUUAUGGCUUGUCAUUUACCCCUCAAAAUCUCUAAUAAUUUAGGGGUAGUGAAUCAAGCUAAAAACUUAAAGUCACCAUAACAAAAUAAAAGAGAGUGGAAAUAUCUAAAGAAAAUAAAUGCCAUUCCCAAACAUGAACAAUAUGCAAGAUAUUGAGGUGUGUAUGUGUUCACUGACUAUUUGUGCUUCUAUUCUCUACUGAAUAUUCUAAAAGCUUACCAUAAGAGGAAGUGAUGCCCAUGUUUUCUCCUGUUAUUGUCUUGCUCACAAAACCUUUUUACAUCCCAUCUCAGGAACAAAGCUUGUUGUGGAGAAUGCCAAAGACAAUAUAAAUCCUUCACUUGUCUCACAUGAAGUAAGUUCUAGAUUCAUGUGCCUAGCAACGGAAGCAUCUCCCUUCUCAGAACCUGGCAACUGAUGCGGUUCUUCCCAAUGGCUCUUCUACCACACCAACCAAAUUUAUUUGUUUUUAUCUUUGACGUCAGUAAGUCUAACUUCUUUCUCCACAUAUGCUACGCACCAAUGUCUCUGCAAAACAAUAAGAAAUACAACCCCAGCAGCAGCAGCAGCAGCAGCAGCAGCAGCAGCAGCAGCAGCAGCAGCAGCAGCAACAACAACAGCAAGACACUGAAAAACUGGAUUCCAUUUAGUGUUCGCCAAUUAUGUGUGAUCAUCAUGUCUGCUCACAAAUGAGUGAGUGGGGUUAGAAUACAGUUUCACUGUAUUGAAGAAAA